rnacentral:lncRNA from 12 species
GAGCCAGCCUGUGCUGAGGAGGCCUGAGGAGGAGGUGGGGACGCGUCUAUGCUGAUAAGCUGCAGCCUCCACAGGACCCGCAGAGAGUCUUCAGGAGGAAAUUGGGCCGUGUUCACGCUGUCAGGAACCCCGGUCUCCUCAGGACCCAAGGUGAGGCUUUAGGAAAAUGUGGGCCCGCAUUCACCCUGACAGGAGCCCCUGGGUGCCUCAGGACCUGCGGGGAACUUCAGGAAGAUGUGGGCUGACAUCCUCCCUGACAGGAACCCUGAGCCUCCUCAGGACCGCCGGGAGGCUUCAGGAAUUAUGGGACCACAUUCAUGCUGACAGGAGCCCCUGAGCAGCCUCAGGACCCGCGGGGAGGGUUCAGGAAGAUAUGGGCCCGCAUCCACGCGGACGGGAGCCCCUGAGCAACCUCAGGACUUGCGGGGAGGCUUCAGGAAAAUGUGGCACCGCGUCCACUCUGACAGGAGCUCCUGGGCCCCUCAGGACAUAAGUUGAGACCUCUGGAAGCUGGGGGCCGCAUUCAUGGUUACAGGAGCCCCGGCCUCCUCAGAACCCUCGGUGACGCUUCGGAAGGACUUGGGGCCACAUGGACACAACAGGACGCUGACUUCCUCAGGACCCCCGGUGUAGACUUUGGGAAAUAUGGGGAUGUGUCCAUGCGGACAAAAGACCCCAGCCUUGUCAGAGCCUGUGGUGAGGCCUAAGAAAGAUGUGGAUGCCAAAUCCACACUGACAGGUAUCUCCGGCCUCCUCAGGAUGCACUGUGAAGGAUUGGGAUGAUUUGAGGCCACGUCCAUGCUGACAGGAGCCCCCAGCCUCCUCAGGAUGCGCGGAGACCCGGCGUACUCAGGACCCACUGACUAUGACUCUGGAACACGUGGGGCCACGUGUGCACUCACAGGAGCCCAGCUUCCUCAGGACCCCCUAGAGGACUCUGGAGGCGCCGUUGGGGGCCACGUCCACAUCAGAAGGGACUACUCAGAACCACAGGGUAAGUGAAUGGGUAGAAUGAAUGAUAGGAUCAGGG